rnacentral:rRNA from 1 species
AUUGAACGCUGGCGGCAGGCCUAACACAUGCAAGUCGAACGAGUGGCGGACGGGUGAGUAAUGUCUGGGAAACUGCCCGGUGGAGGGGGAUAACUACUGGAAACGGUAGCUAAUACCGCCUACCAUCGGAUGUGCCCAGAUAGGAUUAGCUAGUAGGUGAGGUAACGGCUCACCAAGGCGCCGAUCCCUAGCUGGUCUGAGAGGAUGACCAGCAACACGUGAACUGAGACACGUUCCAGACUCCUACGGGAGGCAGCAGUGGGGAAUAUUGUACAAUGGGCGAAAGCCUGAUGCAGCCAUGCCGCGUGUAUGAAGAAGGCCUUCGGGUUGUAAAGUACUUUCAGCGAGGAGGCGUUACUCGCAGAAGAAGCACCGGCUAACUCCGUGCCAGCAGCCGCGGUAAUAC